rnacentral:rRNA from 1 species
UUCGCAAUGCCCGAAAGGGUGAACGAGCGACGCCGCGUGCGGGAUGAAGGCCCUCGGGUCGUAAACCACUGUCAAGAGGGACGAAUGCCUGGAUGGCGAAUCCGGGAGCGACGGUACCUCUGGAGGAAGCCCCGGCUAACUCCGUGCCAGCAGCCGCGGUAAUACGGAGGGGGCAAGCGUUGUUCGGAUUUACUGGGCGUAAAGGGUGUGUAGGCGGCUGGGUAAGUCUGGUGUGAAAUCUUCACCGCUCAACGGGAAGAGGUCACUGGAAACUGCCUAGCUCGAGUAUGGUAGAGGCAAGCGGAAUUCCUGGUGUAGCGAUGGAAUGUGUAGAUAUCAGGAAGAACACCGGUGGCGAAGGCGGUGGUCUGGGCCGAAACUGACGCUGAGGCGCGAAAGCCAGGGGAGCAAACGGGAUUAGAUACCCCGGUAGUCCUAGCCGUAAACGAUGGGCACUAAGUAGAGGGGUUUU